rnacentral:rRNA from 1 species
GACGAACGCUGGCGGCGUGCUUAACGCAUGCAAGUCGAACGGGGCUGCUAUGAUGGAGUUUUCGGACAACUGAUUAGUAUGCCUAGUGGCGGACGGGUGAGUAACGCGUGAGUAACCUGCCUUUCAGAGGGGGACAACAGCUGGAAACGGCUGCUAAUACCGCAUAAUAGUUUAUGCCGCAUGGCAUAAGAGUGAAAGGCGCUUUCGGGUGUCGCUGAUGGAUGGACCCGCGGUGCAUUAGCUAGUUGGUGAGGUAACGGCUCACCAAGGCCACGAUGCAUAGCCGACCUGAGAGGGUGAUCGGCCACACUGGGACUGAGACACGGCCCAG